rnacentral:misc_RNA from 1 species
GUAGGUGAACCUGCGGAAGGAUCAUUAACACGUUACUUAAAAACAACGUAUUAAACCAAACGUGAAAUUAGUGUCUGCCCUGUAGGGAAGUGGGAAGUGAAACUUGAAGAAUGGUGUGCGAGGUGUUAAAACCGAGCUGGCUCUUGUUUCUAGUAGUGCAAGCAUGGCAACAUGUUUGAAGCUGCAGCUUUCUCUCUUUACAGUUGAUAUAGUAUCGAUCGCUUAUUCAGCCUACACCUUGGCUGGCUUUAGGUACGCCCAUAUUCUUAACCCCUUUAUUUUAACCACUGAUUUGUACGUUUCUAUGCAUUCCUGUCUUCGGACGGUUGAGUUCAUUUAAAUGUCGUAUAUACUAAUACGAAACAACUCUUAGCAACGGAUAUCUUGGUUCUC